AACCCAUCUCUAGCGGAUUCACAACUCCUGAGUUCAGAGUACACACGCACACACACUUGUGUAGGAUGAGUACAUGAGUGCGUGUCUGUGUCUAUCUUUCUGUGCGUGUGUACCGGCUUUUUUUGCACCCCCCCCCCCCAGCAGUCUCUAAAGGCUACGGGUUUGUUGUUGUUGUUCGAGCUUAGAUUUUGUGUUCAAGCAAUGGGUGUAUAAUUAGUGAGUGUAAUCAAUAUCGCUUAUAUCAUACGUGAUCACGCACCUUUUGGAUUUAAGCGGCACUUGCGUCGGCUUGAAGUUUCAGGACAACAGCUGAUUUUCACGCCAAUAUAAGGGACAAAGAUCGCUAUCUCCCAAGGAAAGAAGGACGCGGACCCCAUUGUCUCGGCGUUGAAGGCUCAACACUCAAGGCGACACACAGGACUAACCGCGUGGGUCGAGCAAGGGCGUGCAGCGAUGGACGACAAGAGCUGGGGUCCGGGCUACGCGAGCGCCCUGCUGCAAGGCCUCGACGCCUUGCGACGCCGCGGGCUCACCACGGACGUCGUGCUGUUGGCGGGGGGCCGCCAGUUCCCCGCGCACCGCGCCGUGCUCGCGUC